AAAGCAAAAUCUCUUAUUCAUUCUCUCUCUAACAACUUUUCUCUCUCUUUAUUUUUCCUUCGUGUUCUCUCUCUAGAUACAGCGAGGAAGAACAGGGCACAUACUGAGACAAGAAAUAUAAAUUAUUAAGUGAAAUAUAAAGAAAGAAAGAAAAAACAGAAGCUGAGAAGAGAAUAAGAAGAAUAUUUGAUUGAAGAGAAGAGGAGAGGAAAGAAAGUUUUUCUUUUCCCUUGUUUUUUGUGUAGUGAGGGAUAUAAAGAUAUUUUAUUGGUCCGGUUUAUCGAAGCAAAAAACUAGAAGAAUUAAAGAGAAAGAGAGUUAAGAAAUUUGGGGUUUUUCGGGUUCUUGUUUUGAUUAAAAUCAAAGCUUUGUAGAUUUGAGUAACUCUCUUUUUCUUUUGUUUCUCCUUUGACUCUGUACCUGUUGGGAUUUUCUUAAAACUCUGGGAUUCAUGCGAAAGCCAUUCCAUUGCUGCUUUGAAGAGAUUGCAAAUCUAAACUCCUUGCUUGGCUUCGGUUUUCAGAGCUAUAUGUUCAGGAACAGAACUUACUCUUUCUUAUUUGGGUACAAUGAGGAGCAUGAAGCUAAAAGCAAGCAGCCAAGUUGGGGAUAAACUUCUGAUUGCCUUGAGCUAUACAGCUGAAUAUUUGUGCUUUUCUUUGUAACUGUAGUUUACUUAAUAUUCAUGUUGUUUUAGGUAGUGGCUGCAGUUUUAUGAGUGAGUAUUAGAUAGUGAACUUUGAAGUAUGGUACCAUCGGGGUCUUCUACUCCUAUAGGUGGUGUGCAGUCUGUUACGCCUUCUCUUUUGCGGUCGAGUUCUGGGAUGCUAGGAGCCCAGGGGGGUAGCCUUCCUUCUCAAACUGGAUACCCUUCAUUAGUGUCGCCUCGCACUCAGUUUAGUAAUAUGAAUAUGCUUGGCAAUGUGCCAAAUGUGUCUUCCCUUCUUAAUCAGUCCUUUGGAAAUGGGGUUCCAAACCCUCAGCUUUCUGGUCCGGGGAGUAGCCAGCGUGGAGGAAUUGACUCAGGGGCUGAAUCUGAUCCACUUUCAAAUGUAGGUAAUGGGAUGGGGUUUAAUGCUCCCUCAUCAUCGUUUGUUCCAUCAAACAUGGCAAACCCUGGUUCAUCUGGUCAAGUUCAAGUUCAGCAAUUUCCAAACAUUUCUGGUAACCAUAUGUUACCGGACCAGCAGCACUCCCAUCAACUAGAAUCACCACAUUUCCAACAUGGUCAACAAGCAUUGCAACAGUUCUCUGCUCCUCACAACACCCAGCAAGGACAACAGCAGCAGCAGUUUCAAUCUAUUAGAGGAGGGUUGGCUGGUGUUGGUGGGGCGGUCAAAUUGGAGCCACAAGUGACUAAUGAUCAGCUUGGCCAGCAGCAACAUCAACAGCAGCAACAGUUGCAAUCACUGAGGAAGCUUGCUCCUGUGAAAUUGGAACCACAACAAAUACCACCCAUGAGAACUUUGGCACAGGUAAAAAUGGAACCCUCACAUUCAGAUCAGUCCUUGUUUUUGCACCAACAACAACAGGAGCCGCAGCAACAACAGCAGUUACACCACAUGUCGAGGCAGCCCUCACCAGCCCAAAUUAAUCUUUUGCAUCAGCAAAGGCUGUUGCAGCUACAACACCACCAACAGCAACUUUUAAAAGCAAUGCCUCAACAAAGGUCUCAAUUGCCACAGCAGUUUCAACAGCAGAAUUUGCCUUUGAGAUCACCUGUGAAACCAGUGUAUGAGCCUGGGAUGUGUGCCAGGCGUCUGACACAUUACAUGUAUCAACAACAACAUAGACCUGAAGACAACAAUAUUGAAUUUUGGAGAAAAUUUGUUGCCGAGUACUUUGCUCCAAAUGCAAAGAAGAAGUGGUGUGUUUCUAUGUAUGGAAGUGGCCGCCAAACAACUGGUGUUUUCCCUCAGGAUGUAUGGCAUUGUGAAAUAUGUAAUCGCAAACCAGGACGUGGUUUUGAGGCGACUGUUGAGGUUCUCCCUAGGCUUUUCAAAAUUAAAUAUGAGAGUGGUACUCUGGAAGAACUUCUUUAUGUUGAUAUGCCUCGUGAGUAUCAGAAUUCAUCUGGUCAAAUUGUCCUGGACUAUGCAAAAGCAAUACAAGAAAGUGUUUUUGAGCAACUUCGUGUUGUUCGUGAUGGUCAGCUUCGGAUAGUUUUCUCACCCGAUCUGAAGAUAUGUUCUUGGGAAUUUUGUGCUCGACGUCAUGAAGAACUUAUCCCUAGAAGAUUGUUGAUACCUCAGGUUAGUCAGCUUGGGGCUGCUGCUCAGAAGUAUCAAGCAGCAACUCAAAAUGCAUCAACAAAUUUAUCUGCUCCAGAUUUGCAGAAUAACUGUAACUUGUUUGUAGCAUCAGCUCGGCAACUGGCAAAAGCCUUGGAAGUGCCGUUGGUAAAUGAUUUGGGUUACACAAAGAGAUAUGUACGUUGUCUUCAGAUAUCUGAAGUCGUUAAUAGUAUGAAGGACUUGAUUGAUUACAGUAGAGAGACGAAGACUGGACCUAUGGAGAGUUUGGCCAAGUUCCCUCGAAGAACAAGUACUUCAUUUGGUAUUCAAGCACAACAGCCUGAGGAACAACUACAACAGCAGCAGCUGACCCCACAACAGCAAACAGUGGCCCAGAACACCAGUAGUCAAAGUUCUACCCAGGUUUCUGGGAUGCAUCUCGUUGCUAACAAUGGUGGGGUUAACAUAAAUAACUCUCUUAGUGCUGCAUCUGCAUCAACAUCUGCUGGUACCGUUGGGCUUCUACCCCAGAAUUCCAUGAACUCCAGGCAGCAGAAUUCUAUGAAUAAUGCAAGCAGUCCCUAUGGUGGAAACUUUGUUCAGAUUGCUUCCCCUGGAUCAUCUAGUACAAUUCCACAAUCACAAGCGAAUCCUUCUCCAUUUCAGUCACCAACGCCCUCAUCUAAUAAUCCUACUCAAGUUCCUCAUGAUGCUUUAGCAGCUACUGGUCACAUGAACUCAGCUAAUUCUCCCGUGAAUAUGCCUGUGCAGCAGUCAGCUCUUUCCAGUGAGGCUGACCCAAGUGAAUCGCAAAGCUCUGUUCAGAAAAUCAUUCAUGAAAUAAUGUCUGCCCAACUGAAUGGUACGGGAGGUAUGGUUGGUGUUGGCACUCUAGGCAAUGAUGUGAAGAGUUUAAAUGGAAUGUUGCCAACAGGUAACAGUACAGUUGUCAAUGGUGGCAACAGUAUGGUGGGUAAUGGAACUGUCAACAAUAGUUCUGGUAUAGGUAGUGGUGGGUUUGGCACGAUGGGUGGUGGGCGGCUUGGCCAAUCUGCUAUAGUGAAUGGAAUCAGAGCUGCCAUGGGUAAUAACUCGAUGAUGAAUGGAAGGGUUGGUAAUGGCAUGGCAUCAAUGGCUCGGGAUCAAGGUAUGAAUCACCAACAGCAACAGGAUUUGGGGAACCAGCUACUGAGUGGACUAGGAGCAGUUAAUGGUUUUAAUAGUCUUCAAUAUGAUUGGAAAACUUCUCCAUGAAAGAUGGCCAAAAUGAAAGGUGAUGGAUGUUGGGGUGUAGCUGCUGUGUUUUGCAGCCAUGAAAACCAGCGGGUGGCCUCUGGCGCAGCACUAUAUGAUAGGAGAUAGAUGAAAGGGCCGCUUCCCUCCCCUUUGUACCAAUUUCAGAAAAGGUUAAUGCAAACCUUUUGCACCAUGGUUGAAGCCAAAGAUGUAAAGAAAGAUUGAUAUGCAUGAAGACGAGGAUUGAACCCAACUUUUUUUCAGGAAA